rnacentral:rRNA from 1 species
GACGAACGCUGGCGGCGUGCUUAACACAUGCAAGUCGAACGGAAAGGCCCUGCGUUUGUGGGUUGCUCGAGUGGCGAACGGGUGAGUAACACGUGAGUAACCUGCCCUUGACUUUGGGAUAACUUCAGGAAACUGGGGCUAAUACCGGAUAGGAGCUCCUGCUGCAUGGUGGGGGUUGGAAAGGUUCGGCGGUUGGGGAUGGACUCGCGGCUUAUCAGCUUGUUGGUGGGGUAGUGGCUUACCAAGGCUUUGACGGGUAGCCGGCCUGAGAGGGUGGCCGGCCACAAUGGGACUGCGAUACGGCCCAGAAGGCUACGGGAGGCAGUAGUGGGGAAUCUUGCACAACGGGCGGGAGCCUGAUGCAGCAACGCCGCGUGCGGGAUGACGGCUUUCGGGUUGUAAACCACUUUCGCCGGUAACGAAGCGUUCGUGACGGUAAUGGGUAAAGAAGCACCGGCUAACUACGUG